rnacentral:tRNA from 1 species
GCGAGGGUAGCCAAGCCAGGUCAAUGAUGAUGUUCUCAUCGACCAAAGGCGACAGACUCAAGAUCUGUUCCUGAAGAGGUUCGUCGGUUCAAAUCCGGCCCCUCGCACCA